rnacentral:rRNA from 1 species
AAAUUAGAGUGUUCAAAGCAGGCAGACAUUAAUCUCUCCACCGAAUACAUUAGCAUGGGAUAAUGGAAUAGGACCCUGUCCUCCAAUUUUCAGUUGGUUUUCGAGGACCAGGGUAAUGAUUAAUAGGGAUAGUUGGGGGCAUUAAUAUUUAAUUGUCAGAGGUGAAAUUCUUGGAUUUAUGAAAGAUUAACUUCUCCGAAAGCAUCUUGCCAAGGAUGUUUUCAUUAAUCAAGAACGAAAGUUAGGGGAUCGAAGACGAUCAGAUACCGUCGUAGUCUUAACCAUAAACGAUGCCGACCAGCGAUUAGGAGACGUUGAAUACAAAACACCACCAUCAGGCGGGUCGUUCCUGGCUGGUCUCGCGCAAGCGGGGCUGGUGGGGGCGAUUCGUUUCCCUGAUGGCCCGGUGAA